UCCACCACAGCUUGCUUCAGCAGCACAUAUGCAAAAAUAGGAGUGAUGCAGAGAAGAUUAGUGUGGCCCCCUGCACAAGGAUGGCACUUUUGGACAGGUUGCUCCCUAAAGACUGAAAGAUAAUUUUCCAGUUUACAAGGAAUUGCUACCUGUUCUCUCGAGAUAAAAAGAGAUACUUCUCCAAGGUCAUCACAAUUGCACUUCUGAGUUUAAGCUCAAGUUCUAAAGAUACAUCAAACAUCUCACGUACUCUGGGCUCUUAUUUCUAUUUGCCCACAUUACCCAAAAAUUGUGUGCAUCAUUGCAAGCCAGCAAGGGAAACCAUAUGCACAGUGUUGGAUAUUGGAUGUAGAGAUCCAGUAUUUUUUGCACACACAUAACCUGACCUGGUGAAGAAUCUGCCUGUGAAACUGACCUGGUGAAGAAUCUGCCCAUGCUGUGCCCAGGUCAUAAACUAAGAAGAUCACAAGUUGGGAAUUCUGUAAAAAAUAAAAAUAAAAGGAAAGAACCCAACGUAGAAUUUCAGAACGUGCAUACCAGCAUGACUCCACUCAUAUGCACAUUGAAGUAAUAGCAACCAGAAAAAUUGUCUUCAAGGACAACAAUUUAAAAGGACAUGAAGCCAGAGGCUCAAAGGAAGUUUUCAUUAACUGUCUUAGAACCAGCAACAAAUUCCAAGGCCUACAUGACGAAGAAGAUGAAAGGAGAACUCUACGUCCGUCACCAGUUGGGCCCUUAUGAAUGACACCAGAAGCCAGUUGUCUAUGUAUGGAAAAACUGUAACACCUCAGAGUCAUAGGUGUGCCGCCACCACCACCUUGCAUUUGGUAAACACGUGUGGGGCAGAGGCCACUCCGAAAGGAAGGACAGAAUAUUGGAGAAGUCAGCAAGUGAUGCUUGUUGCACUACUGGACUGAUUCUGGACUACUGAGUUUGGUAAAGGUAAAGUGGCCAACCAGAUGCCUCUGUAAAGCCCACAAGCAAGAGAUGAAGUUACUCCCCUUCUUCUGCUGUUGCUCCCCUGCCAUCGGCAUUGAGAGACUGCCUCUAAAUCUGGAGCUUGCUUAUGUCUCCUUUUACAAUGUACCAAGGCAGCAAAAGCUGUACAACAUCUUCCAAACCUAUGUCUGCUUUCUUGGACACCCUUCAAGACACCAUUGCCAAGAAGCAAUGAACUGUUUAGCAACCUUCUGCACAGUAAUUCUGUCUUCGGGGUAUUUAAAUUGAUUUUCCUUAUUUUUGCAAGCCUCCAGCCCAGCAACCACGAAUGGGCAACGGAACAUUAGUAUCAAGGAAGAAAGGCUGGAACAUUAGAAUGUGAUGAUCAUUAGCAUGAGCAGCAUCCACCCAGUAUGCUACAGAAGUAUAGAGUCAAUGUGCCCCUAUUCCCCACAAAUGUGGGACUGCUGUUGCUUGCAUUAAGUAGAUGAAGUUGUUUCCUCAGAUACUUACAUUUUAGUGAACUUCAACAUACUAACAGGAUUUGAAGUUAGAAAAAUAUGCACUACACCUUUCACCGAUACGUACAGCAAAUCUCUGAAUGCUCAUCAGAGCCAUCCAGGCAAUCAUCGUCACCAUCACAACGCCAGCGAUCUUGGAUGCAGCGCCUGUUCUUACACUGAAAUUCUCCCAGCUUGCAUAACUUGGUUAACACUUCUCUAGAAUUAACUAAAGGGACAAAUGUAUAAAGAAAAAGAAGUAUUAGCUGCCUAUAAGAAGCCACACAUUAUACUUUCUUUUAAGGGAUCUAUAGGCAUCUGAAGAUUGUUUCUCUCUGCAUUUACAAGAUAAAAAUGCCUUGACUCUGUAUUUCAAAGUACGUUGGAAACCCAUCAAAAUGGAAGGAGAGCCCUGAAGCAAAGCAAAAUAAGGCAGAAUGAAAUGACACUACAGAGAAAGCACCCUGCCAGCAUGUUAAAGAAAGAAAGAAAGAAUAAGGAAACCCAAAUGGUGUUUGCUUUAAAGCAAUGCAUGGUGUCCCUUGUUCAUGCCUUUGUGGGGAGGGAUACCUCUGAUAUGUUUUGCUUUUGCUGCAGGGCUCUCCUUUUAUUUAGAGGAAUAUAAUGCAUAAUAAUAAGGAAGGAAGUUUUCCUCAUUGGAUAUGUCUAUAUCUGCCCUUGCUCAUUGGGCAAAGAUGCACCUGUUCAAGUGGUGACUCUCCUACUUACUAGAGGGAGAGCAACUGUCACUGUUCAUCCCAGCAGAGCAUCUCUGUUUAAUGGUCUCUCCCUGCCUUGUGUCUUUUGUCGAUUGUGAGCCCCUUUGGGACAGAAAACCACCUUCUUAUCCUUUGCUAUCUAAACCAAUUUGAGAACAUGUUUUGAUUGCC